rnacentral:rRNA from 1 species
UAGGGGAGCGAACGGGAUUAGAUACCCCGGUAGUCCUAGCUGUAAAGCAUGCGGGCCAGGUGUCUGGUGUUCCUUGAGAGCACCAAGUGCCGGAGGGAAGCCGUUAAGCCCGCCGCCUGGGAAGUACGGUCGCAAGGCUGAAACUUAAAGAAAUUGGCGGGGGAGCACUACAAGGGGUGAGACCUGCGGUUCAAUUGGAUUCAACGCCGAAAAACUCACCAGGGGCGACAGUUGAUUGAAGGCCAGGUUGACGACCUUGCCGGACUAGCUGAGAGGUGGUGCAUGGCCGUCGUCAGCUCGUACCGUGAGGCGUCCUGUCAAGUCAGGUAACGAGCGAGACCCUCGCCCUUAGUUGCCAUCGAUGGGAAGUCGGGCACUCUAGGGGGACCGCUGGCGCUAAGCCAGAGGAAGGAGAGGGCAACGGUAGGUCCGUAUGCCCCGAAUCCCCUGGGCUACACGCGGGUCGCAAUGCGCAGGACAAUGGGAUGCAACCCCGUAAGGGGAAGCCAAUCCCCUAAACCUGCGCUCGGUUCGGAUCGAGGGCUGUAACUCGCCCUCGUGAAGCUGGAAUCCCUAGUAAUCGCGUGCCAACACCGCGCGGUGAAUACGUCCCUGCUCCUUGCACACACCGCCCGUCAAGCCAUUCGAGUGGGGUCUAGAUGAGGUUCGUUCAAGUUGGGCAGACCGAAUCUAG